rnacentral:rRNA from 1 species
AUUGAACGCUGGCGGCAGGCCUAACACAUGCAAGUCGAGCGAGCGGCGGUCGGGUGAGUACUGCCUGGGUAUUGCCCAGUCGAGGGGGCUAACAGCCGGAAACGACCGUCAAAACCGCAUACGACAGGAUCGCCCAGGUGGGAUUUGCUAGUUGGUGAGGUAAUGGCUCACCAAGGCGACGAUCCCUAGCUGGGCUGAGAGGAAGAUCCGCCACACUGGAACUGAUACUCGGUCCAGACUCCUACGGUAGGCAGCAGUAGGGAAUAUUGCACAAUUGGAGAAACCCUGUUGCAGCCAUGCCGCGUGUGUGAAGAAGGCCUUCGGGUUGGAAAGCACUUUCAGCGAGGAGGCGUUACUCGCAGAAGAAGCACCGGCUAACUCCGUGCCAGCAGCCGCGGUAAUAC